GAUGAACGCUGGCGGCGUGCCUAACACAUGCAAGUCGAGCGUGAACCUUUCAAAUGAGAUUUCGGUCAAGUGAGAGAGGGGAAAGCGGCGGACGGGUGAGUAACGCGUGGGCAACCUGCCCCAUACUGAGGGAUAGCCUCGGGAAACCGGGAUCAAUACCUCAUAAAGCCAAAAGCCUACAUGGGCAUUUGGCCAAAGAUUAAUCGGUAUGGGAUGGGCCUGCGUCUGAUUAGCUGGUUGGUAGGGUAACGGCCUACCAAGGCGACGAUCAGUAGCCGACCUGAGAGGGUAAUCGGCCACAUUGGAACUGAGACACGGUCCAAACUCCUACGGGAGGCAGCAGUGGGGAAUAUUGCACAAUGGGCGAAAGCCUGAUGCAGCAACGCCGCGUGAGCGAAGAAGGCCUUUGGGUCGUAAAGCUCUGUCCAAGAGGAAGAAAAGAUGACGGUACUCUUGGAGGAAGCCCCGGCUAACUACGUG
rnacentral:rRNA from 1 species